CUCGGCCUACGGGACGCAGCAGUGAGGAAUAUUGGUCAAUGGGAGAGAUCCUGAACCAGCCAAGCCGCGUGAGGGAAGACGGCCCUAUGGGUUGUAAACCUCUUUUGUCGGAGAACAAAACCCGGGACGAGUCCCGGACUGCGUGUAUCCGAAGAAAAAGCAUCGGCUAACUCCGUGCCAGCAGCCGCGGUAAUACGGAGGAUGCGAGCGUUAUCCGGACUUAUUGGGUUUAAAGGGUGCGUAGGCGGUCCGUUAAGUCAGCGGUAAAAUUGCGGGGUUCAACCCCGUCUAGCCGUUGAAACUGG
rnacentral:rRNA from 1 species